rnacentral:rRNA from 1 species
UGCGUAGGCGGUCUUGUAGGUCAGAUGUGAAAUCCCACGGCUCAACCGUGGAAUUGCGUUUGAAACCACAAGACUUGAGUAAGAUAGAGGUAAGCGGAACUGAUGGUGGAGCGGUGAAAUGCGUUGAUAUCAUCAGGAACACCGGUGGCGAAAGCGGCUUACUGGGUCUUUACUGACGCUGAGGCACGAAAGCUAGGGGAGCGAACAGGAUUAGAUACCCUGGUAGUCC